rnacentral:rRNA from 1 species
GACGAACGCUGGCGGCGUGCUUAACACAUGCAAGUCGAACGGAAAGGCCCUGCUUUUGUGGGGUGCUCGAGUGGCGAACGGGUGAGUAACACGUGUGUAACCUGCCCUUGACUUUGGGAUAACUUCAGGAAACUGGGGCUAAUACCGGAUAGGAGCUCCUGCUGCAUGGUGGGGGUUGGAAAGUUUCGGCGGUUGGGGCUGGACUCGCGGCUUAUCAGCUUGUUGGUGGGGUAGUGGCUUACCAAGGCUUUGACGGGUAGCCGGCCUGAGAGGGUGACCGGCCACCUUGGGACUGCGAUACGGCCCAGACUCCUACGGGAGGCAGCAGGGGGGAAUAUUGCACAAUGGGCGGAAGCCUGAUGCAGCAACGCCGCGUGCGGGAUGACGGCCUUCGGGUUGUAAACCGCUUUCGCCUGUGACGAAGCGUGAGUGACGGUAAUGGGUAAAGAAGCACCGGCUAACUACGUG